UAUAUCGCUACGACGCAGGAGGGCGCGA
rnacentral:piRNA from 1 species